ACGGCCAUACCAUGCUGAAUACACCGGUUCUCGUUAGAUCACCGAAGUCAAGUAUCAUUGGGCGCGGUCAGUACGCGAUAACCACCUGGGAACACCGCGUGCCGUUG